rnacentral:rRNA from 1 species
AUUCCAGCUCCAAUAGCGUAUAUUAAAGUUGUUGCGGUUAAAAAGCUCGUAGUUGGAUUUGUGGCGCGGUCGUCCUGCGGGGCUCUUUUACUAGGGCCGUUUGUCUGGUUUUCGACCGCACCAUUCUCGGGUAGCGUGUGGCUGGCAUUAGGUUGUCGGCCUCUUCGCGCCCGUCGUUUACUGUGAAAAAAUUAGAGUGUUCAAAGCAGGCUUAGGCCGUUGGAUACAUUAGCAUGGAAUAAUGAGAUAGGGCCACGACGGUCUAUUUUGUUGGUUUGCACGUUGUGGUAAUGAUUAACAGGAACGGUUGGGGGUAUUCGUAUUCAAUUGUCAGAGGUGAAAUUCUUGGAUUUAUUAAAGACGGACUACUGCGAAAGCAUCUGCCAUGGAUGUUUUCAUCG